AUUGAACGCUGGCGGCAGGCCUAACACAUGCAAGUCGCGCGGAGCGGCGGACGGGUGAGUAAUGCCUAGGAAUCUGCCUGGUAGUGGGGGAUAACGUCCGGAAACGGGCGCUAAUACCGCAUACUAUCAGAUGAGCCUAGGUCGGAUUAGCUGGUUGGUGGGGUAAAGGCCUACCAGGGCGACGCUCCGUAACUGGUCUGAGAGGAUGAUCAGUCACACGGGAACUGAGCACCGGGCCAAGCUCCUGCGGGAGGCAGCAGUGGGGAAUAUUGGACAAUGGGCGAGAGCCUGAUCCAGCCAUACCGCGUGUGUGAGGAAGUUCUUCGGAUUGUAAAGCAAUUUAUGUUGGAAGGCGUUACCAACAGAAUAAGCGCCGGCUAACUUCGUGCCAGCAGCCGCGGUAAUUC
rnacentral:rRNA from 1 species